GGGGGCGACAUGGUUUCGACGGGGGUAGUGUGGGUUGGAGUAGCGAGCCGGGGAUCCUGGAACCCGUAAAACAGGGAAACCUCAAAUAAACGCUAACGAUAACUUAGCACUCGCUGCCUAGUAAGGCAGCCGUCCGCCCAAACUGUGUCUACUGGGUUUGGUCUCGGGCGUCAUGAACAGUAGUACUACCGGUAGCAACACUGCGAAGUGUUGCGGGGGUAAUAAAGCGAUUGUUGCGUAGCAACUAUCGGCUUGUACCUUUCGAGAGCGCCUAGUAUCUGUCGGGAAAGAAAUAGGCUAGCAAGGUAACUACCCUGUCCUUGGGGGAGUUGCUGCGCGAAUUUCAAAACAAGGACUGCGCUCGGAGAGACUCUGACUGGCAUGCCUUCGGACGGUGGGUUCGACUCCCCCCGCCUCCACCA
rnacentral:tmRNA from 1 species